rnacentral:rRNA from 1 species
GGUGAACGCUGGCGGCAGGCCUAAUACAUGCAAGUCGAGCGAACAGAUGAGGAGCUUGCUCCUCUGACGUUAGCGGCGGACGGGUGAGUAACACGUGGAUAACCUACCUAUAAGACUGGGAGAACUUCGGGAAACCGGAGCUAAUACCGGAUAAUAUAUUGAACCGCAUGGUUCAAUAGUGAAAGACGGUUUUGCUGUCACUUAUAGAUGGAUCCGCGCCGCAUUAGCUAGUUGGUAAGGUAACGGCAUACCAAGGCAACGAUGCGUAGCCGAUCUGAGAGGGUGAUCGGCCACACUGGAACUGAGACACGGUCCAGACUCCUACGGGAGGCAGCAGUAGGGAAUCUUCCGCAAUGGGCGAAAGCCUGACGGAGCCACGCCGCGUGGGUGAUGAAGGUCUUCGGGUCGUAAAGCUCUGUUAUUAGGGAAGAACAAAUGUGUGAGUAACUAUGCACGUUUUGACGGUACCUAAUCAGAAAGCCACGGCUAACUACGUG